rnacentral:rRNA from 1 species
AACGAACGCUGGCGGCAGGCUUAACACAUGCAAGUCGAACGCCCCGCAAGGGGAGUGGCAGACGGGUGAGUAACGCGUGGGAAUCUACCCAUCUCUACGGAACAACUCCGGGAAACUGGAGCUAAUACCGUAUACGCCCUUAGGGGGAAAGAUUUAUCGGGGAUGGAUGAGCCCGCGUUGGAUUAGCUAGUUGGUGGGGUAAAGGCCUACCAAGGCGACGAUCCAUAGCUGGUCUGAGAGGAUGAUCAGCCACAUUGGGACUGAGACACGGCCCAAACUCCUACGGGAGGCAGCAGUGGGGAAUAUUGGACAAUGGGCGCAAGCCUGAUCCAGCCAUGCCGCGUGAGUGAUGAAGGCCUUAGGGUUGUAAAGCUCUUUCACCGAUGAAGAUAAUGACGGUAGUCGGAGAAGAAGCCCCGGCUAACUUCGUGCCAGCCGCCGCCGUAA